GGGGGUGUAGCUCAUUUGGCAGAGCGCGUCAUUAGCAUCUUCAAUCAAUUCGAUUCGAAAGGUUUUGACGAGGUACCGGGUUCAAUUCCCUGCUCCUCCA
rfam:Kwoniella heveanensis BCC8398 unplaced genomic scaffold supercont1.9, whole genome shotgun sequence.